AUUGAACGCUGGCGGCAGGCCUAACACAUGCAAGUCGAACGGUAACAGGAAGAAGCUUGCUUCUUUGCUGACGAGUGGCGGACGGGUGAGUAAUGUCUGGGAAACUGCCUGAUGGAGGGGGAUAACUACUGGAAACGGUAGCUAAUACCGCAUAACGUCGCAAGACCAAAAAGGGGGACCUUCGGGCCUCUUGCCAUCGGAUGUGCCCAGAUGGGAUUAGCUAGUAGGUGGGGUAACGGCUCACCUAGGCGACGAUCCCUAGCUGGUCUGAGAGGAUGACCAGCCACACUGGAACUGAGACACGGUCCAGACUCCUACGGGAGGCAGCAGUGGGGAAUAUUGCACAAUGGGCGCAAGCCUGAUGCAGCCAUGCCGCGUGUAUGAAGAAGGCCUUCGGGUUGUAAAGUACUUUCAGCGGGGAGGAAUGGAGUAAAGUUAAUACCUUUGCUCAUUGACGUUACCCGCAGAAGAAGCACCGGCUAACUCCGUG
rnacentral:rRNA from 1 species